rnacentral:tRNA from 2 species
AGUAGCUCAGCUUGGUAGAGCACUUGGUUUGGGACCAAGGGGUCGCAGGUUCGAAUCCUGUCU